UGAUUUGGAUCUGAACCUGGACCUUUUGGAUAGGUGCUGCAGAGCUUUAGACCAGGUCUGAACUUGAGUCCUCUUCACUGGCUCUCUAUCAAACCCAGAAUCCAAUUCAAGGCUCUUAGUAACUUCUAGAGCUCUGCAGGUCUCUGAGGCACUUCUAGAUUUGUGAGCUCUGUUUGUAUUUAUCAUGUGACCAUUCACCUACACUGAGCAUGUGCGUGCCGGUGUAAACAGGAAGCAGAUUGUCUACUCUGCAGCUAAAGAAGAAAGUUCUACUGGAGACGAACGCAGAGCAGCGAUGGUGAAGAACCACAGCAGAGACUUCUCUGCACGGAGCGACAGCGAGAUGGAACACGGGAGGUCAAAGAGGCUGUGGCGGCGGGAAACAGAGACCUGCAGAGUACAAGAGUAGAAGUGUUGUUUACACAGUACAGCAUGUUUUAAUAAAACUCUGUUUGACUGACUGAUAAGAGCCAAUCAGGAAACCAAACGUGAGCGUCUGCGUCAUCGUUUCCACCUGUCAGCACUAACACGCCGGAGUUUAAAACCAGAACGGGGUCAGCGGUGUUUUCAGACUUCUACGUUUCAGUCUGGACGGGAGGCGGAGACGUAGCAGAAGGGCUGAGUGUUAAAACCAAAAUGUAGUCGUGUGGACGGAGCCUGGCGUCCUCUGAUCAGGGUCUGCUGGUUGCUCCUCGAUCCAGGAAACUGAGGACUUUGAAGCAAACGGCGUUGCUGUGGCGAUGCGGCAGGAACUGUGGCACAAGGUUUGAACUAAAAGCUGAAAGAAGACCGUGUGACCUGCUGCAGAUACGAACCUCCUCCACCCACACCUGCACGUCCUGCCGAUGUUCUCCGAGCUGGAUGAAUUACCGACAGGACCUGAGAUGUGCAGCUGCUCCGAGACGUUCUGCAAAAAUCCCGUCCGCCUCGUUGUUUAUCAGCUAAAUCGUUCUUCACGUCUGUUUCAAUCUAUUUUAAAACGGUUUGAUACGGAUCUGUUCCCUUUGACCGCUGCUGAUCCAAAGCAAACAUGGCCGCUGGUCUGUUUUUUUGGCAGAUGGGGUUAAAACAAACGAGGCUCGGCGCUCCCUCACGGCUUUAAGUGCAGCAGAAAGAGGAGUAAUUGGACGUAGUGAGCUAUAGCUACAAACAAUCUCCCUCUUCUCCCCAAGAUUCAAAUUUACAGUUUGAAUGGCAGAAGAAGGGAAAAAAAUAUCUUUCAAUUACGCCUUUUCUCUUUUCCCCCCACAUUUAAAUUGGAAGUGAUCUCGGAGGAAAUAGUUAUCAUUCUAAUGACGGCCUCCAUUCAUUAAAACUCUCAU